rnacentral:rRNA from 1 species
UUGAAGUCGAGAAUGAAAGGAAAAAUUAAAAUAAACUGUCUUAAAAGUUUUUUUUGAAAAUUACUAAUAUGGUGAAAAUUCCAUAAAUAAAAUUUAAUAGACGAGAAGACCCUAUGAAUUAUUAUUAAAAAUUUUAUUUAAAAAUUUUUAAAUUUUUGUUGGGGCAACAGGAAUUAUUUUUAAUUGAAAAAAUUCUAAUUUUAAAAAAUAACAUUUGAAGUUUUUACUAUAAAUGAAUUUAAUU